UUCGGCGGCAGCCCGGAGCGGUCCCCGAGCCGCCGUCUUUCCGCCGCCGCACUGCUGCAGUAGAUGGACACUGCAACAACGCCUCAUUAAUCGAUAAUUUUGGCACCAUUGGAUUGAUUGGCUGAUUGCGUGGAAUGCGUAAAACAAAUAUGUAACUGAUAUUGCUGCAGAAGUCUGUGGUCUAUGGCCGAGAAGGCAACAGCCUGUGCCUGUUGCUGCUGUCAAACAUUCCAUACAGUGAUGGUGGUGGUUGCCCAUGAUAAAGGGCAAAUCGAUCUGGACUGCUGCUACUCCUCAGCUGACAGUCUUGCCUGAAGCAAAAUAUAUGUACUGUUGCUGUGGCACAUCAGUGUAAUUAAUUAUGUCUGUAAUGUACAUAAAUCUGUGUCUGUAUAACUUGUAUAAAAAAAAGUCGAUGAACUAAAACACAUCUACACUUCUCAGCGUCAACAGAAUUGUUUCAUCUCCUAAUUUACAUAUAUGUGUGCUGGUAAAUAAAACAUCGCAGCGACCAGGUGAGGUGAUAAACUGUUGUAUAGUACUUGGAGAUGGAAGUCAUGCCUUAAUAUCUCACUGCUUUCACAAGAAUGUCAUAUUUUCUGCUUAGACCUGUGGAUGAGCUAUCAUGAAGUGUUGAUGUUAACCACCUAUUUAUGUACUCAAUGGCCUUGCCGCUUGGGUAACACUGGUUCCAGCCCGAUUAUUGACAUUAAGCAACGUUGGGCUCAGCUAAUGCUUAGAUGGAUGACUUUACAGGGAAAAUAAGGUGCCGUUGGUUCUGAGGGCACGCAAGUCUCCGAAUUAAUGUUCAGCUGAAAGAUUUACUCCAGGCUGUUGUGCCAUUAAAAGAAACCUCUGGAUACCAUUUACAAUAACAUGAGUUAGUAUUACUUCAAAGUGUAGUAACAACAAUACUAUCCUGGAGGUUAAAAUGGCACUUUAUUAACGAUCUGGACAACUUCUGCCUAUAAUAUACAGUGACAAGUGGUUUUGUGCGUGGCUGUGUUGAAGUGUCAAAUUCAUUAAAGCAGCGGCACUGUACAGGAAAGUGUCAUCCGUGGUCUAUAGUUCCGCUUGGGACUCCAUGCAGCUGACGUGUUAUGCAUCCAGGCCACCUUAGUUUGUAGAGUCUAACACGUCUGUGAUACAGGCACAAGAAGUGUAUCAAGAAUAGAUGGAUUCCUACAUCUGUCAACACCCUCUGACGUCUCUAUCCGCCGAGAUAUUCAUGACUAUCGGAUGGCGUGGAAACAGAAUCCACUAAAAUGUGGAUGCAGCAUGGAAGAUGAACAAAACCAUACAUUACAAGAACUUCAGUAGUGCUAUUCAUGGAGAGAAACUCAAAUGGAAUUGGAAUGUGACCAAAGUCGUUUAGUCAGCAACAAAAACAACACCGUGAUCUAGAUUGCCAUAUCUGUGAUAAUCCAGGUAUUGGUGCAUAGGUUGGUGUUCCAGAGGAAUGGUAGUGGCGACGAUCUUGCUGUUAAGGAUAACACCUGUGGCUGGACUAGUGUUAUGUUCAAUAUGUAUUUACCUGGCUGCACAUUAAAAUUCUUUUGCUACAAAAAUUAAAGUUAUAAAAUUCGCUCAAACCUGCGACUGUGGCACUCUCGCCGUGGGAGUAAAGCAUAGUGUGGAUGUGGUGCCCUCUAACAGCUAUCUAAGUCCAUUCCUCUGGUGGGCAUUCAAUACCUGUGGCACCUCAUACCAGAUGGAUACUUGGAAACUGUGUAAUCUAUAAUGUAAUGUAGUGGUGUCGUAAUAUUUAUUUAUUUCCUGUAUAUUUCACAUGUGAUGUAUGUGAGACUGCAGAUCUUAAUAGAUUGUAAUG